rnacentral:lncRNA from 1 species
ACCUGCACUAUUAACUAACCAGUCUAACUGUAACUAACAUUUUUUCAAUUUCAAUUUACUACAUAACAUUAACAUAAUACUAAUAAUCCCCAACAAUCCAAGUAGCAUAACAGUUUCACAAUUACUUCAAACUAAUACUUAAUUCAAAAUCACAAUAAUUCAAUUCAUUAACAAUCAUCAUUCAACUUUCUAUACUAAC